rnacentral:rRNA from 1 species
GAAUAUUGGACAAUGGGGGGAACCCUGAUCCAGCCAUGCCGCGUGUGUGAAGAAGGCCUUUUGGUUGUAAAGCACUUUAAGCGAGGAGGAGGAGCUCUUGGUUAAUACACACGAUGCUUGGCAGUUACUAGAAGAAUAAGCACCGGCUAAAUCUGUCCCAGAAGCCGCGGUGAUACAGAGGGUGCACUCGUUAAUCGGAUUUACUGGGCAUAAAGCGCGCGUAGGUGGCCAAUUAAGUCAAAUGUGAAAUCCCCGAGCUUAACUUGGGAAUUGCAUUCGAUACUGGUUGGCUAGAGUAUGGGAGAGGAUGGUAGAAUUCCAGGUGUAGCGGUGAAAUGCGUAGAGAUCUGGAGGAAUACCGAUGGCGAAGGCAGCCAUCUGGCCUAAUACUGACACUGAGGUGCGAAAGCAUGGGGAGCAAAC